AUUAAAGUUCAAUUUAGAGAUACAAUUAUUUAAGGUAAAUUACAUCUGUUUGAAAGUGAAACCAGUUUUUUUUUUUCAUGCAGGCUCUGUCAGUCAUAGCCAGGGGAGGUGUGGCUAGGGCUGCGUAAACAGAAACAAAGUGAUUUAACUCCUAAAUGACAGUGAAUUGGGCAGUGAAAUUGCAGGGGAAUGAUCUAUACCAGUGAUGGCGAACCUUUUUGAGCCCGAGUGCCCAAACCGUAAUACAUGCCAAUUUUUUUUCCCUCAAAGUGCCAAAACGGCAAUUAAACCUGAAUACUGAGGUUUAAGUUUAGAAAAAACAACUCAUACAGUUGUCCGAACUAAU